GUGGGGAAUAUUGCACAAUGGGGGAAACCCUGAUGCAGCAACGCCGCGUGGGUGAAGGAGCGUUUCGGCGCGUAAAGCCCUGUCAGCGGGGAAGAAAAAAAGACGGUACCCGACCAAGAAGCCCCGGCUAACUACGUGCCAGCAGCCGCGGUAAUACGUAGGGGGCGAGCGUUAUCCGGAAUUACUGGGUGUAAAGGGAGCGUAGACGGCAGGGUAAGCCUGGAGUGGAAGCCCGCGGCCCAACCGCGGAACUGCUUUGGGAACUGCCCGGCUGGAGUAUGGGAGGGGUAAGCGGAAUUCCUGGUGUAGCGGUGAAAUGCGUAGAUAUCAGGAGGAACACCGGUGGCGAAGGCGGCUUACUGGACCAUAACUGACGUUGAGGCUCGAAAGCGUGGGGAGCGAACAGG
rnacentral:rRNA from 1 species